rnacentral:tRNA from 1 species
CAUUAGAUGACUCGAAAGCAAGUACUGGUCUCUUAAACCAUUUUAUAGUAAAUUAGCACUUACUUCUAAUGA